rnacentral:tRNA from 1 species
GGAAGGAUAGUCCAGUGGUUAGGGUACUAGCCUGGGACUCUAGAAACCAGAGUUGAGUUCCCUAUUUUACCA